ACACAUACUGCACAGACACACGCACACAUACAUAUAGUAGUGCACAGUAAGGUACAUAGACCACGCGUGCAUUGACGCGCACAUUCACACACACGCACACACACACACCCAUCUAUGCACACCCACACAUUGCAAGCAUACACACACAUACACACGCAACCAUUCACAACAGAUCGCUUUUACUUCUCAUUACAAAACAGGCCGACGAGGGAGUUUCUACGCGUUCGCUCGAUUUGCUAGUAAUAGCAGCCAAAAAUCUUUCAAAAUCACACACACACACACACAUACACAAACGUACACACGCACAUACACUCACAUUACCAGCCGUCGUGGAUAUACACAAGUAUAAACAUAGACGGAAUGGUCACGACUGGAAUACAUUUGACCAUAGGUCUGAUCGAUCAGGGCUGACCUGGGGUUAAAACAACAACGACAACUUCUCGCCACACACACACACACACAAAUACACACAAACACGCAUACAUACGCAGAGACACGCGCGCACGCGCACACAAACUAAUACAAACAACAGGAAUUCCCCCCACUCUCACCACCACCGUCAGCAACGCCACCACUUUCGCUUACCUACACAACUUUGCCUCUUGCUCCGCAGCCCCUAUUCCUCUUCUUCUUCUUCUGUUUCUUCUCUCCCUUCUCUAAGUAUUUUCUUCUUUAUUUCUUCUUUCUCUCUCUUUUCUCUUUCUUUCAUUCAGUGUUUUUUCUUUCCCUUUCUUACAUUCUUCAUUCCUUCCUUUAUUAUUCCUUCUUUAUUCCAUCACUUGCACCCCCGUCCAUGGGAGAGGGUGUGGACCUAGCUUACCCAAGUGCUAGCGUACGUGUGGUUCUCAUCCUGUCUAUGAGUGUCUUCUGUCUAAUAACAGUUGUUUCAAAUAUUCUGGUGAUUGUCACUGUAAUACUUACGAAAAAACUGAGGACCAUAUCGUCGGCUUUCCUUCUCAAUCUUUGCGUAGCAGACUUAGGAAAUGGCCUACUUACAAUGCCGUUUAUAAUUAUUGGUCUGGCGUACGACGGAGUACCUCUCACACAGAUUCCAUUUAGCGCGAUUCUGUCCCAAGCAGAUUCAAUCUGACAAAGAGUACUCGAAGAAUUUAACAAAAUAGUAGAGGAUUGCAAUUCUUCUUCUUGUAGUUUUCUAAUACAAAAUAUCCAACGUUUGGCACCAGUCACUACUAAAGAAAAGAAGUUUAACUCUGCAAGAACUAGCAUCCCAUUAAGAAAGGGAGGGUCUCGGCACUCCAAAUAAGUUCCAGCCUCAUGAUCCUGUACACUAGACAUGCAUAAUGGAGUCCACUAUAGCUAUGGCUAUUUCCUCUCUUCCUACUCUUUGAAUGGAUAAAAACAAAUUCUUUAUC